UGCACCGCGAAGGCCGCGACGCCCGCUUCAAACAGGAUGUCCCCAUCCAUAUUCGCAGGCGGGCAAGGUCUGGGCUUCAUCCCCCUAGACCGAUGUCCCGUCGUCAAGACGGUGCGACGUACCAGAAACAUAUCUAGUCACGCUAAUCCCGGAGAUGCCUUGAGGCGAAUGGAGUGCGGUUCGGUUUGGGAUACGUCGCGGGGAUCGGGCGGCUCGUUUCCAUUUAGUAACGAAAGACACUCUGUCGUGUCUCUGUAUGCGCUCUCUGAGGGCUGGUGGAAGGUCGAGCUUUGUGUCCUAGACUAACAACAGGUGGAGCUGUGUCGGGGAUGAGAUCAAUUGGACGUCUUGAGAUCGUUCAGACAUGGCUCCCGAUGAAAACCCAGGGCGCAUUGAUGCCUUCCACGAGAGACUUUUGAGGGUGGUAUGCUGAAUGGGAUAGUGCCGCCCUUCAGUGCACUUCGCGGCUCGCGGGCAUUCGUGUAUCGCGAAACUCGACUCAGACUACUCUCGCGCUGCA
rnacentral:RNase_P_RNA from 1 species